GCCGGGGUGGCGGAACAGGCAGACGCAAGGGACUUAAAAUCCCUCGGGUGGUAACACCCGUACCGGUUCGAUUCCGGUUCCCGGCACCA
rnacentral:tRNA from 1 species